rnacentral:rRNA from 1 species
CCUACGGGAGGCUGCAGUGGGGAAUAUUGCACAAUGGGGGAAACCCUGAUGCAGCGACGCCGCGUGAGUGAAGAAGUAAUUCGUUAUGUAAAGCUCUUUCAGCAGGGAAGAAAAUGACGGUACCUGAGUAAGAAGCCCCGGCUCACUACGUGCCAGCAGCCGCGGUAAUACGUCGGGGGCAAGCGUUAUACGGAUUUACUGGGUGUAAAGGGAGCGUAGACGGCAGUGCAAGUCUGGAGUGAAAGCCCGGGGCCCAACCCCGGGACUGCCUCUGAAACUGCGCGGCUGGAGUGCAGGAGGGGCAGGCGGAAUUCCUGGUGUAGCGGUGAAAUGCGUAGAUAUCAGGAGGAACACCGGUGGCGAAGGCUGCCUGCUGGACUGCGACUGACGUUGAGGCCCGAAAGCGUGGGGAGCAAACAGGAUUAGAUACCCCUGUAGUC